UGCGGUAGGGGAGAUUGGAAUUCCUGGUGUAGCGGUGGAAUGCGCAGAUAUCAGGAGGAACACCGAUGGCGAAGGCAGAUCUCUGGGCCGUAACUGACGCUGAGGAGCGAAAGGGUGGGGAGCAAACAGGCUUAGAUACCCUGGUAGUCCACCCCGUAAACGUUGGGAACUAGUUGUGGGGUCCAUUCCACGGAUUCCGUGACGCAGCUAACGCAUUAAGUUCCCCGCCUGGGGAGUACGGCCGCAAGGCUAAAACUCAAAGGAAUUGACGGGGACCCGCACAAGCGGCGGAGCAUGCGGAUUAAUUCGAUGCAACGCGAAGAACCUUACCAAGGCUUGACAUAUACGAGAACGGGCCAGAAAUGGUCAACUCUUUGGACACUCGUAAACAGGUGGUGCAUGGUUGUCGUCAGCUCGUGUCGUGAGAUGUUGGGUUAAGUCCCGCAACGAGCGCAACCCUCGUUCUAUGUUGCCAGCACGUAAUGGUGGGAACUCAUGGGAUACUGCCGGGGUCAACUCGGAGGAAGGUGGGGAUGACGUCAAAUCAUCAUGCCCCUUAUGUCUUGGGCUUCACGCAUGCUACAAUGGCCGGUACAAAGGGCUGCAAUACCGCGAGGUGGAGCGAAUCCCAAAAAGCCGGUCCCAGUUCGGAUUGAGGUCUGCAACUCGACCUCAUGAAGUCGGAGUCGCUAGUAAUCGCAGAUCAGCAACGCUGCGGUGAAUACGUUCCCGGGUCUUGUACACACCGCCCGUCAAGUCAUGAAAGUCGGUAACACCUGAAGCCGGU
rnacentral:rRNA from 1 species